ACUGCAUAGUUCUAAAUUAAUCUUGCUUUUGUGAAUUUAUUUACAAAGUGGACUUCUUUUAAAUGCAUUCAAGUUUGACUUAAGUGGUUUUGUCUAAUUUUCAGGAUUACAUGAUAAGUUGAUAACUAAGGGUUGUAAGCAACAAUGUCUUCCUCUAGUUCAAAUAAGAAAGUUGAUCCAGCUUGGAAAUAUGGUUGUCCCAAUCCUAAUGAAAAGAACAAUGUAGCUUGCAAAUUAUGUAAAAAGGACUACAAUGUUGGCAUUAAUCGAUUAAGGAAAUGUUUGGCCGGCAUUAAUUUGACAUAGCGUCAUGCACUCAAGUCCCUGGAGAUGUUGAAAAAGAGAUGUUGGAAAAGGUCCAAAAGAAGAGAGAAGAGACAAGGAAACAAUAUGAAGAUAUUAGGAGAUCUGUAAAAUAUCUAUGGAAUAGAAGACAAAGAAGAGGAAAGGACCUUCAUAUCUAGACCAACCACUUUUGGGCAUAAGAGACCUCGAAGAAAGGGGCCUAUUGAUACAUUCUUCCCCCCUCCUGAUCCCGAGGUGGUAGUUUGAGAAUGGGUACAGGCACAAACUAGUCUAGACAGUCAAGUAAAGAAGCAGGAUAGGGAUCAUAUUAAUUAGUAGCAUCAUGAUAUUAUCAAGCAGAUCUACUAUUUAAUACAGCUAGCUUAAAGAGCUUCCAAGCUAUGUUGGGGGCAACAGGCAGUUUGGCCUCGACUAUAGGGCACUUACACCUUAUGAGUUCAAGGUUCCUUUGUUGAAUAAAGAAGUGGAGCUCACAAAUGACUAUCUGAAGACCCACAAGGAUGCAUGGGGCAAGUGUGGGGUGAUCACUAUAACAGAUACUUGGAGCAAUAAAAGGUCAAUGAGUAUUAUGAAUUUACUGGUUAAUUGUCCCAUGGGGACAAUUUUUGGGAGGUCCAAUGACGCACCUGAUAAGAUUCAUGAUGCGAGUUUCAUAUUUGGAGUGGUAGAUAAGUGUAUUGAGGAGGUGGAAGAGGCAAAUGUUGUGCAAGAUUGUCACUGAUAUGGCUAAGGCCAAUAUGACGGCUGCUAGAUUGUUGGAAGCGGUAAAGGGGAUAAUCGAUAAAGCAAAAGUUUUGACAGUAAUCAUUUACAACCACACCAAUUAAAAUGAGGAAGUAUACAAAAGGGCUGACUUGGUGAGGCCGAGGAUCACAUGGUUUGCAACUUCAAAGUUGUCUUUGGAUUCUCUUAAAAAUAAAAAAGAAAGAAUCAAACCAUGUUUGUUUCCUUAGAUUGGAAGGAAAGCAAGUGGUCUAAGGAGACAAAGGGAAAAUGGUGUAUGACAUUGUUAAGACACCCAAGUUUUGGAGUGGGGUUCAGUAAUGCAUCUAUCUUUUUGAGCCACUUGUAAAAUACUACGCCUUGUGUAUAGUGAAAAGGAACCGGCAAUGGGGCACAUUUACAAGUCAAUGGAGGUUGUAAGAGAAGAAAUCAAGAUGAACUUGAAAAAAGAUGAAAGUAAAUAUGGCUCCAUUUUGAAAAUUAUAGAUAACAAAUGGGGGGAUUUACAGUUGGAGAGACCCCUACACCUACAUUGAUUGUGAGAGAGAGAGUAGGGAUUGUUUCAUAGAAGCAAUUAACAAGUGUAAUAUGAAGCUCAACCCUGACUCAGAUAUCCAAGACAAAGUGUCUAUGUAACUUGACUUGUAUCAGUACUGUACAGAGACACUUGGGAUGGUCUUCGCAAUAAGGCAAAGAAGAAAAAUAUAUCCAUCUUCAUAGUGGGCCAACCAUGGGCAAAGUGCUCCCAACUUGCAAAGGAUGGCGCAAUGGAUUUUGAGAUUGACUUGCACAUUAUCUGGAUGCGAGUGCAAUUUCAGUACAUUUGAGAUGGUCCAUACAAAGAAGAGAAACAGACUUCAACAGAAGAGACUGAAGAGCGUUGCUUCUGUUCAGUAUAUUCAGAAGCCGAGGGCAUGUCAUAUAGAGUGAUAUCAAAUAUCCGACCCCAUAGUUGUGAAAGAUUUGAAUGAAUCAAGAAAAUGGUUGGUCGAGGAGGAUGCUGGGAUUAGCCUGUAUUCGAGGGAGACAAUUUGACAUGGACCUAAGUACAAGAGCCCGCUGAUAUGGCAUCGAGCCCCAUGAGAACUACUAGAUCUCAAACUCAGAUUAAAGGGAACACAAUGAUAAAGGAGAAGGGAAACGGGAAAGGAGAAGGUGAGGACGAAGAGGAAAAAGACGAUAGUGGAGGAGGAGAGGAUGCAGACUCAAAAGAGGAGACAAGGGAAGAUGCUCAUUAUGAGGAGGAGGAGGAUGUCUUUAAUGAUGAUGGUUUGGCAGCAUCAUCAAGUUUAGGUGCAUUUCAUGCUGGCCUUGGAUGUGGAUGUCAUAUUACCCUAGCCGACCGGACUACUUGACAUCGGGGACGAGGUAGAAGGCAUAGCAGGUCAUCCUCCUGUAGAAGUGAGGAGCAACAAUCAACCGCCCUACCGCAUCCUUGAGGGACCCCAGGUAACUCCCAUUCCCAUGUGAUCAAGAUCGCUUCCUCUGGAAACUGGGCUUUAAGCCGCUCUCAGUGAUGAUGAAACUUACUAUCAUAUUUGAGUUCAUCAUAUUUGUGGGAUGAAGAAUGCUACUUUUUCUAGUUCAUGGCCUUUGAAUUGUGAGUUGUGCCUUUUUCUUAUCAGUUAUCUUUUGCAACAUGCAAGAUGUAAUGGAUA